GUCAAACUUCAGUUUCUCUCAAGACAUCACAAGUGAAGUAUUGCGCUGGUUAAUCAAUUUGCCAUUUUUAAUUUUGUGUAUUAACGUGGCUGUGCGGAUAUUUCAAUAAAUCUCAAUUUUUAAUCGAUAUCUGAUCUAUUUUGAUAAGUCGUGUGUUGUAUGGUGAAAAUGCGGUGGUAUAUACUGGGACUAGUGUGCGCAGUGGCGCUGGUCUGCGCCGAAGACAAAAAAGAAAAAGAUAAAGACAUUGGCACCGUCAUCGGUAUCGACUUGGGAACUACAUACUCAUGUGUGGGUGUAUACAAAAAUGGCCGCGUGGAAAUCAUUGCCAACGACCAGGGUAACCGUAUCACUCCCUCUUAUGUAGCGUUCACGAGUGACGGCGAGCG